CCUACGGGUGGCAGCAGUGGGGAAUAUUGCACAAUGGGGGAAACCCUGAUGCAGCGACGCCGCGUGAGCGAUGAAGUAUUUCGGUAUGUAAAGCUCUAUCAGCAGGGAAGAAGAUGACGGUACCUGACUAAGAAGCCCCGGCUAACUACGUGCCAGCAGCCGCGGUAAUACGUAGGGGGCAAGCGUUAUCCGGAUUUACUGGGUGUAAAGGGAGCGUAGACGGCGAUGCAAGCCAGAUGUGAAAGCCCGGGGCUCAACCCCGGGACUGCAUUUGGAACUGUGUGGCUGGAGUGUCGGAGAGGCAGGCGGAAUUCCUAGUGUAGCGGUGAAAUGCGUAGAUAUUAGGAGGAACACCAGUGGCGAAGGCGGCCUGCUGGACGAUGACUGACGUUGAGGCACGAAGGCCAGGGGAGCGAAAGGGAUUAGAUACCCGUGUAGUC
rnacentral:rRNA from 1 species